rnacentral:rRNA from 1 species
CGUUAGCGGCGGACGGGUGAGUAACACGUGGGUAACCUACCUAUAAGACUGGGAUAACUUCGGGAAACCGGAGCUAAUACCGGAUAAUAUUUCGAACCGCAUGGUUCGAUAGUGAAAGAUGGUUUUGCUAUCACUUAUAGAUGGACCCGCGCCGUAUUAGCUAGUUGGUAAGGUAACAGCUUACCAAGGCGACGAUACGUAGCCGACCUGAGAGGGUGAUCGGCCACACUGGAACUGAGACACGGUCCAGACUCCUACGGGAGGCAGCAGCC